AAGGAUCAUUACAACGUAUCCACGUACAAACCAAAACUGUGAACUGUUUCCCUUUGGAGUGGCAAUUGCAAACUGAAUCAGGACCUUAAUAGUGAAUGUGAUGGGACUGAUUCGGGCUACUCUGAAGUGGUUUAUCUCAAAAUCACAUUUCACAAUUAUUAACCCUUUGAACCUUUUAAUGAACUGAACUGUGGAUGCUUUGUUGCAAAACAAUUCAUCUAUCAUAUAUUACGAAACAAAAGAACAACUCUUAACAACGGAUAUCUUGGUUCUC
rnacentral:misc_RNA from 1 species